rnacentral:rRNA from 1 species
AUUGAACGCUGGCGGCAGGCCUAACACAUGCAAGUCGAGCGGAGCGGCGGACGGGUGAGUAAUGCCUAGGAAUCUGCCCGGUAGUGGGGGAUAACGUCCGGAAACGGGCGCUAAUACCGCAUACUAUCAGAUGAGCCUAGGUCGGAUUAGCUAGGUGGUGGGGUAAGGGCGUACCAGGGCGACGAUCCGUAACUGGUCUGAGGGGAGGAUCAGUCACACGGGAACUGAGACACGGUCCAGACGCCUACGGGAGGCAGGAGGGGGGAAUAUUGGACAAUGGGCGAAAGCCUGAUCCAGCCAGGCCGCGUGUGUGAAGAAGGUCUUCGGAUUGUAAAGCACUUUAAGUUGGGAGGCGUUACCAACAGAAUAAGCACCGGCUAACUUCGUGCCAGCAGCCGCGGUAAUUC